UCGGGAAUUUUGGGCAAUGGGCGAAAGCCUGACCCAGCAACGCCGCGUGGAGGAUGAAGUUUCUCGGAAUGUAAACUCCGUAAGAAUAGGACGAAUAAGGAGGGGUCAAUACCCCCUUCGAUGACGGUACUAUUCGUAAGCUCCGGCUAACUCCGUGCCAGCAGCCGCGGUAAUACGGGGGGAGCAAGCGUUGUUCGGAUUUACUGGGCGUAAAGGGCGCGUAGGCGGCGCAACAAGUCACUUGUGAAAUCUCCGGGCUUAACCCGGAGCGGCCAAGUGAUACUGUCGUGCUAGAGUGCGGAAGGGGCUACUGGAAUUCUCGGUGUAGCGGUGAAAUGCGUAGAUAUCGAGAGGAACACCUGUGGCGAAGGCGGGUAGCUGGGCCGACACUGACGCUGAGGCGCGAAAGCUAGGGGAGCGAACGGG
rnacentral:rRNA from 1 species